rnacentral:rRNA from 1 species
CCUACGGGCGGCAGCAGUGAGGAAUAUUGGUCAAUGGACGAGAGUCUGAACCAGCCAAGUAGCGUGAAGGAUGACUGCCCUAUGGGUUGUAAACUUCUUUUAUAAAGGAAUAAAACGAGGCACGUGUGCCUUUUUGCAUGUACUUUAUGAAUAAGGAUCGGCUAACUCCGUGCCAGCAGCCGCGGUAAUACGGAGGAUCCGAGCGUUAUCCGGAUUUAUUGGGUUUAAAGGGAGCGUAGAUGGGUUGUUAAGUCAGUUGUGAAAGUUUGCGGCUCAACCGUAAAAUUGCAAUUGAUACUGGAAGUCUUGAGUACAGUUGAGGUAGGCGGAAUUCGUGGUGUAGCGGUGAAAUGCUUAGAUAUCACGAAGAACCCCGAUUGCGAAGGCAGCUUACUAAACUGUGACUGACAUUGAGGCUCGAAAGUGUGGGUAUCAAACAGGAUUAGAUACCCCGGUAGUC